CCGCGGUAAUACGAAGGGGGCUAGCGUUGUUCGGAUUUACUGGGCGUAAAGCGCACGUAGGCGGCCUGGUAAGUCGGGGGUGAAAACUCAGGGCUCAACCCUGAGACUGCCUUCGAUACUGCUGGGCUUGAGUGCUCUAGAGGGUAGUGGAAUUGCCGGUGUAGCAGUGAAAUGCGUAGAGAUCGGCAGGAACACCAGUGGCGAAGGCGACUGCCUGGGGAGUAACUGACGCUGAGGCGCGAAAGCUGGGGGAGCAAACGGG
rnacentral:rRNA from 1 species